rnacentral:rRNA from 1 species
UGGGGAAUAUUGGACAAUGGGCGAAAGCCUGAUCCAGCAAUGCCGCGUGAGUGAUGAAGGCCUUAGGGUUGUAAAGCUCUUUUACCAGGGAUGAUAAUGACAGUACCUGGAGAAUAAGCUCCGGCUAACUCCGUGCCAGCAGCCGCGGUAAUACGGAGGGAGCUAGCGUUGUUCGGAAUUACUGGGCGUAAAGCGCACGUAGGCGGCUAUUCAAGUCAGGGGUGAAAGCCCGGGGCUCAACCCCGGAACUGCCUUUGAAACUAGAUAGCUAGAAUCUUGGAGAGGCGAGUGGAAUUCCGAGUGUAGAGGUGAAAUUCGUAGAUAUUCGGAAGAACACCAGUGGCGAAGGCGACUCGCUGGACAAGUAUUGACGCUGAGGUGCGAAAGCGUGGGGAGCAAACAGGAUUAGAUACCCCCGUAGUCC